GAGGGUAUAGCUCAGUGGCAGAGUAUAUGCAUAGCAUGCAUGAGGUCCUGGGUUCAAUCCCCAGUACCUCCA
rfam:Camelus ferus unplaced genomic scaffold scaffold917, whole genome shotgun sequence.